GACGAACGCUGGCGGCGUGCUUAACACAUGCAAGUCGAACGGAAAGGCCCUGCUUUUGUGGGGUGCUCGAGUGGCGAACGGGUGAGUAACACGUGAGUAACCUGCCCUUGACUUUGGGAUAACUUCAGGAAACUGGGGCUAAUACCGGAUAGGAGCUCCUGCUGCAUGGGGGGGGUUGGAAAGUUUCGGCGGUUGGGGAUGGACUCGCGGCUUAUCAGCUUGUUGGUGGGGCAGUGGCUUACCAAGGCUUUGACGGGUAGCCGGCCUGAGAGGGUGACCGGCCACAUUGGGACUGCGAUACGGCCCAGACUCCUACGGGAGGCAGCAGUGGGGAAUAUUGCACAAUGGGCGGAAGCCUGAUGCAGCAACGCCGCGUGCGGGAUGACGGCCUUCGGGUUGUAAACCGCUUUCGCCUGUGACGAAGCGUGAGUGACGGUAAUGGGUAAAGAAGCACCGGCUAACUACGUG
rnacentral:rRNA from 1 species